rnacentral:tRNA from 1 species
GCCGGGGUACCCAAGCUUGGUAUGGGGCAGGCCUGGAGAGCCUGUGGGCCGUUAGGCCCGCGAGGGUUCAAAUCCCUCCCCCGGCGCCA